ensembl:lncRNA
GAGGACUGGGGGGACGCCUGGGCUUGUUGUGACCAAGAUGCAGGACCCGACACUCGGCCCCAUUGAAACUCAUCCAGUCAACCUGGAAGAGUGAAGAGAGAACAAAAACCAAGCAGGCAAAGAGCAGAGCUGUCCACAGGGGGCAGGGCUUGGGGCAGGGCCUGUGCCGGAGGGUGGUCCAGCACAGUGGUGGCCUCGGGGCCCAGGCUGGAGGGGGCCUGGCACAGUUGAGGCCUGGUGUGGGCCCAGAAGGAAGGGGGCCCAGGCACAGGUAGAGCCUCGGGGCCCAGGCUGGAGGAGAACCAGGCUCAGUUGGGGCUGUGUUGGGGCCCAGGCUGGAGGAGGACCAGGUGCAGUUGGGGCUGCACUGGGGGGGCCGGAGCUGGAGGGGGGCCUAGCAGAGUUGAGGCCUCCUCUGGGCCCAGACAAAAAGGGCCCAGGCGCAAGCCAGGUCCUUGGGGCCCGGGAUGAAGCAGGCCCAGGCCCAGUUGGGGCUGCUUUGGGGCCCAGGAUGGAGGAGGACCGGGUGCAGUUCGGGCUACACUGGAGGGGCCCGAGCUGGAGUCGGGCCUAGAACAGUUGAGGCCUGCUCUUUUCCCAGAUCAAAGGGAUCCCCGGCACAGCCAGGGCCUUGGGGCCCAGGAUGGAGGAGGACCAGGCACAGUGGGGGCUGCUUUGGGGCCCAGGAUGGAGGAGGACCAGGCACAGUUGGGGCUGCUUUGGGGCCCGGGCUGGUGGGAGGCCCGGCACAGCCAGAGCCUUGUGGCUGCACUCCCUCUGUACAGUUCAACCUUGAUCCCUAACCUAAAAUGGUAACUGUAGUGAAAGGCAGUAGCUGAUCCAGCUGCUUUCCUGUGUUUUAAUUUUCCUAAGAAUGGGGAAGGACUCAAGCUAGUAAACAAAGACCCCUUUCUGAAGAACAGGACUCAGAAAGUAUUAGCACAGAGCAGAUCUCCCCUUAGUAGGAGAGAAGUAGAGAUUCUUCCCCUUAGACAGGCAGCCCUUAAAUGAGGGUGGGGAGGGCUGGAGCCAGGCUCCACCCCUUUUUGCCCAGGUGAAAUGCUUGCAGGUGUGCUCCACAGCAGAACGUGUUUUAAUGAAGCCUGGGAAAGCCUGUGACAUCAAAGAAUCCUUUCUUCCUUCUUUCUCGUUUGUGUUUGUUGCCUGCAGUUCCAAGCAGGUGGACUCUCAGUGUCUUGCAAGUGCCACUUAGCAGCAGCAGGUCCAGCCAGGAGGCACAGCACCCUGCAACCUCCAGGGGCCUUUGUGCAGCAGCAGAUGUUGAUGCCCUAGAAGCACGGUGCGGAGCACAUCCUGGGAUCAAGGUGCCACGGACUGGAAAAUGCUGCUGUGGCGGAGUUCCUGUGUGAAGACAAAACUCCCAGUCCCCCAGAAAAGUGGAGGCAGAAGAGCAGUGACAAGGUAUCUACAUGUCUAUCUGUGUAUGUGCACAGCAGGCCCAGCUGCCCCUGCUUCCUCCCUCCACGGGAUCUGCUCCUGCUGCUGCUGCUGCUGGAGUCUCCUCUGGCCACGGUGGCGUGGGGCGAGUUCUUGUGUCAAACAGGAUCUACCGGUCGUCAACCCGUUGUGACUGGGCCUGAUCCCCUGGUUGACCUUUAAUUAAUCCCAACAUUAUCCAUCCCAUAACCUACCCUGGCACUGAG